rnacentral:rRNA from 1 species
UACGGGGGGGGGCAAGCGUUUGUUCGGAAUUACUGGGCGUAAAGGGCUCGUAGGCGGCCAACUAAGUCGGACGUGAAAUCCCCAGGCUUAACUUGGGAACUGCGUCCGAUACUGGAUGGCUUGAAUCCGGGAGAGGGAUGCGGAAUUCCAGGUGUAGCGGUGAAAUGCGUAGAUAUCUGGAGGAACACCGGUGGCGAAGGCGGGUCUCUGGGCCGGAUACUGACGCUGAGGAGCGAAAGCGUGGGGAGCAAACAGG